rnacentral:rRNA from 1 species
GUGGAUGAGUGGCGAACGGGUGAGUAAUACGUGAGUAACCUGCCCUUGACUCUGGGAUAAGCCUGGGAAACUGGGUCUAAUACUGGAUAUGACCUCCUGUCGCAUGGUGGGGGGUGGAAAGGGUUUGUACUGGUUGUGGAUGGGCUCACGGCCUAUCAGCUUGUUGGUGGGGUAAUGGCCUACCAAGGCGACGACGGGUAGCCGGCCUGAGAGGGUGACCGGCCACACUGGGACUGAGACACGGCCCAGACUCCUACGGGAGGCAGCAGUGGGGAAUAUUGCACAAUGGGCGCAAGCCUGAUGCAGCGACGCCGCGUGAGGGAUGACGGCCUUCGGGUUGUAAACCUCUUUCAGCACGGAAGAAGCGAAAGUGACGGUACGUGCAGAAGAAGCGCCGGCUAACUACGUGCCAGCAGCCGCGGUAAUACGUAGGGCGCAAGCGUUGUCCGGAAUUAUUGGGCGUAAAGAGCUCGUAGGCGGUUUGUCGCGUCUGCUGUGAAAGCCCGGGGCUUAACCCCGGGUGUGCAGUGGGUACGGGCAGACUUGAGUGCAGUAGGGGAGACUGGAACUCCUGGUGUAGCGGUGAAAUGCGCAGAUAUCAGGAAGAACACCGAUGGCGAAGGCAGGUCUCUGGGCUGUUACUGACGCUGAGGAGCGAAAGCAUGGGGGAGCGAACAGGAUUAGAUACCCCUGGUAGUCCAUGCCGUAAACGUUG